UACGAAGGGGGCUAGCGUUGUUCGGAAUUACUGGGCGUAAAGCGCACGUAGGCGGAUCGAUCAGUCAGGGGUGAAAUCCCAGGGCUCAACCCUGGAACUGCCUUUGAUACUGUCGAUCUGGAGUAUGGAAGAGGUGAGUGGAAUUCCGAGUGUAGAGGUGAAAUUCGUAGAUAUUCGGAGGAACACCAGUGGCGAAGGCGGCUCACUGGUCCAUUACUGACGCUGAGGUGCGAAAGCGUGGGGAGCAAACAGGG
rnacentral:rRNA from 1 species